AGAUGGUCCACACGAAGUCCUCGGAUCGAUCAGCCCUCUGUGGGAGUGCAAGCUUACGCAGUCGGCUUCUGAUGAUAGAUCUGAUUUGAUAUCUUCCUUCGAUCACCUCAAAUCUUUUUGAUGUCGAAGAUGGAUCAGAGAAGAUACUGGAUGGUGGAGAAAAAUAUGAUGAAGACUCUCUUCUCUUCAGUUUUUCUCUCACCCAAAAUCUUAGAACAGUUCAAGGUCGC
rnacentral:lncRNA from 1 species